GCCGAAGUGGCGGAAUGGUAUACGCGGUGGUCUCAAAAACCAUUGGAGGUUUGCUCCGUGUGGGUUCGAUUCCCACCUUCGGCA
rnacentral:tRNA from 1 species